AGUGAACGCUGGCGGUAGGCCUAACACAUGCAAGUCGAACGGCAGCACAGUAAGAGCUUGCUCUUACGGGUGGCGAGUGGCGGACGGGUGAGGAAUACAUCGGAAUCUACUUUUUCGUGGGGGAUAACGUAGGGAAACUUACGCUAAUACCGCAUACGACCUACGGGUGAAAGCAGGGGAUCUUCGGCCCUUGCGCGAUUGAAUGAGCCGAUGUCGGAUUAGCUAGUUGGCGGGGUAAAGGCCCACCAAGGCGACGAUCCGUAGCUGGUCUGAGAGGAUGAUCAGCCACACUGGAACUGAGACACGGUCCAGACUCCUACGGGAGGCAGCAGUGGGGAAUAUUGGACAAUGGGCGCAAGCCUGAUCCAGCCAUACCGCGUGGGUGAAGAAGGCCUUCGGGUUGUAAAGCCCUUUUGUUGGGAAAGAAAAGCAGCAGGUUAAUACCCCGCUGUUCUGACGGUGCCCAAGAAUAAGCACCGGCUAACUUCGUG
rnacentral:rRNA from 1 species